UUGAACGCUGGCGGCAUGCUUUACACAUGCAAGUCGAACGGCAGCACGGGGGCAACCCUGGUGGCGAGUGGCGAACGGGUGAGUAACACAUCGGAACGUACCCUGUCGUGGGGGAUAACACAUCGAAAGAUGUGCUAAUACCGCAUACGACCUGAGGGUGAAAGCGGGGGAUCGCAAGACCUCGCGCGAUAGGAGCGGCCGAUGUCGGAUUAGCUGGUUGGUGGGGUAAAGGCCUACCAAGGCGACGAUCCGUAGCUGGUCUGAGAGGAUGAUCAGCCACACUGGGACUGAGACACGGCCCAGACUCCUACGGGAGGCAGCAGUGGGGAAUUUUGGACAAUGGGCGCAAGCCUGAUCCAGCCAUGCCGCGUGAGUGAAGAAGGCCUUCGGGUUGUAAAGCUCUUUCAGACGGAAAGAAAUCGGGCGGGUGAAUAGCCUGCCUGGAUGACGGUACUGUCAGAAGAAGCACCGGCUAACUACGU
rnacentral:rRNA from 1 species